CCAAAAACGGAAUUAAAAAUCCUUUUUAGACCAAUACUACUAAACUUAAUAGGCAAAAUUAUUAUAAGUUUCUAAAGAUUAUGGAAAUUAAAGUAACACCAGUCUAAAACAUUAAAAAUUAUAGAAUUAUAAAUUUAGUAAAACUAAUUUUAUUAAGGUUAAUACGGUGCCAGCAACCGCGGUCAAACCAUAUUAAUAAAUAUUUAUUAGAAAAUCUACAAAAUCACAAAAUUUUGUGUAUAUGGCGUACAGUGAAAUGUAGCUUCAAUCAUUAUUUAACAAAUUUAAUUUUAAUAAAAAUAGGUUAAAAAACUAGGAUUAGAUACCCUACUAUUCUUAUCCAAACAAAGUAGAUUUGAGGAAUAAAACUGCUUAGAAACUCAAAAGUCAUGGCGGCUAUUAAAAAUCAUUAGGGGAGCUUACCAAAUAAUUGACAGCCACCAAGAAAUCUUUUCUUUAAUUUAAAGUUUGUAUGCCGUCGUCAAAAAUUUUUUGGAGAAAAAUUUGCAUUAAACAUAAGUUUUAUAAGACAGAUCAAGGUGCAACUAAUAUUAAUGUUUAGGCGAGCUACAAUAGUUAUAUACUCUAUCGGAUAAAUAACUAAAAAGUUAGAUGAAGUUGGACUUAAAAGUAAAAAAUAAUUAAUAAUUAAUAUUUGAAUACUAUAUUUAAUAGUGC
rnacentral:rRNA from 1 species